GCUCGGGUGGUGAAAUUGGCAUACACGUAAGCUUGAGGUGCUUAUGGAGAAAUCCGUGCGGGUCCGAGUCCCGCCCCGAGCACCA
rnacentral:tRNA from 1 species